UUUCCUUCAUGUUCCUCCCUCCUCCCUGCCUCUGCCCUCACGGUUGUCCCACAGGACCUUGAAAAGGAAAUCCAGCAACAUGAAGCGCCUGUCCCCAGCGCCACAGCUGGGCCCGUCCUCUGAUGCACACACCUCCUACUACAGUGAGUCGCUGGUCCGCGAGUCCUACAUCGGCACCCGGUUCCCACCCAGGAGCUCCCUGGAGGAACUGCAUGGUGACGCCGACUGGGGUGAGGACCUGCGGGUGCGGAGGAGGAGAGGCACGGGUGGCUCAGAGAGCAGCAGGGCCAGCGGGCUCAUGGGGCGCAAGGCCACCGAGGACUUCCUGGGCUCUUCCUCGGGCUACUCUUCUGAGGACGACUACGUGGGCUACUCAGAUGCAGACCAGCAGAGUUCUGGCUCGCGGCUCCGAAGCGCCGUCUCACGGGCGGGCUCCUUACUCUGGAUGGUGGCCACUUCGCCAGGCCGGCUCUUCAGACUUCUUUACUGGUGGGCUGGCACCACCUGGUACCGCCUGACCACAGCUGCCUCCCUCCUUGACGUCUUCGUUUUAACCAG
rnacentral:sRNA from 1 species